rnacentral:rRNA from 1 species
AGAGGGGGCUAGCGUUGUUCGGAAUUACUGGGCGUAAAGGGCGCGUAGGUGGCCUGUUAAGUCGAACGUGAAAUCCCCGGGCUCAACCCGGGAACUGCGUCCGAGACUGGCAGGCUGGAAUCCGGGAGAGGGAUGUGGAAUUCCAGGUGUAGCGGUGAAAUGCGUAGAUAUCUGGAGGAACACCGGUGGCGAAGGCGGCAUCCUGGACCGGUAUUGACGCUGAGGCGCGAAAGCCAGGGGAGCAAACGGGAUUAGAUACCCCGGUAGUCCUGGCCCUAAACGAUGAAUGCUUGGUGUGGCGGGUAUCGAUCCCUGCCGUGCCGAAGCUAACGCAUUAAGCAUUCCGCCUGGGGAGUACGGUCGCAAGGCUGAA